rnacentral:lncRNA from 1 species
CAAUGUACUUCCGGGUUCCUAAAUCUUGCCUCCACUUCCUUAACAACCAGACAUGGACGGUGUAAAAAAUAUAUUUUAUUUAAUUACGUGGAUUGCUUUGGCUUUUUUUUGGCUGUAUGGUAGUGGGUUCUUGUUUAUUAUUUUCAUGUUAGGAAUUUUUGCAUCGUUACUUAUCUGUAACAAAAACCCAGAGGGCAAUGGACAUGUUUGUGUGCUGGUUCUGGGAGACUUGGGUCGCAGUCCACGGAUGAAUUAUCAUGCCUUAUCUCUGGCUCGACACGGCUUCAGCGUCACAUUAACCGGAUUCCUCGGUAAGAAUACUAUUGUUGCACGUAGAAUUCACACAAUUCCACGUUACUGGAGACCUUCGCGUAUCCAGUCUUACUUUCGCAUUGUGUCUCUGGUGGGUAGUACUCGUUAAGUUGUAUGAGUGUCUCUGAUGUUUAAUACUCCAUAAAUGGUUGUAGUAGAGAAUUUUAUUUUAAUGUUGCAACGUCAUUAAUUCGAAAAUAAAUACAUAAACCAUAUUAUUAAACAGUCUCAAUUUCUAAAUUGUAGCUGUCAUUUGCGUGGAGUAUUAAAAUAUUUUCGAUCAACAAUAAUACUGUUGGAAUUCAAUCGAUUCUGAAAGUUUAUUCAUUUAACAAUGAAUAGAAAACUAUUGCAGUUCGAUCUUUAGUUAACCACAAUUCAUCAUUAAGAGAAUAAACUUAUUUUGAAUGAAGAACUCACAUUUAGAGACCUGGAUGUUAACAUACAUAAUGUGUGUCCAUAGAUCAUAAUGUAAUAUGUAGAAGACAUUUAAGGGUUACUAUAUCCUCUAUGACCACUUUUGCAUUUGGAAGUGGGCAUGGGGCAAGGGAUCUGUAUGGGCUGUGUUUCUACCUAAAAAUGUUGCUCAUAUCGCGAUAUGAGCAGUUUUGUCCCCAGGGUCUAGUACAGACCUGCACAACUUGGAAGUUGGUAGGGCCAAAAUUAGAAAAAAAAUUAAACGUCUUUGGGCUGCAGAUAGGUUUUUAGUGCCUCACUUUUCAAGUAAAGGUAUAAUUAAAGGACUACUAUAGGCACCCAGACCACUUCAGCUUAACACCUUAAGGACACAUGACAUGUGUGACAUGUCAUGUUUCCCUUUUAUUCCAGAAGUUUGGUCCUUAAGGGGUUAAUGAAGUGGUCUGGGUGCCAGGUCCAGCUAAGUUUAACCCUUUUUUCUAUAAACAUAUGAAACUGCUAUGUUUAUAAUAGGGUUAAUCCAGCCACUAGUGGCUGUCUCAUUGGACACAGACACACACACACAGAAAGAUACACACAUACUAACAAACACAAAUACUGAAACAGACAUACACACAUAUACAGACACAUACACAUUCAUAAGGAGAUACAGAUAUACACACACACACACACACACACACACACACACACACACUGACGUACAUACAUACUCACAUACAGACAUACAGACAUACAAACAUGUUGCAGAUACACACACACACAUACAUACAUACAUAAUGGCAUACACACAUACUGAUAUACAUACAGACAUACACACACAGACAGAUAUAUACAUACUGAAAUACACACACAUACAUACACACACACACACACACACACAUACAGCUAGACACAUACACACAGACAUACAUGCAUACUGAUAGAUAUAUACAUACACACAGACAUACAUACAUACAUACAUGCAGACACAUGCAUAUACACACACACACCUCAUUUAUUAGCCACCCUCCUCUUCCUUACCUUUAAGUUGCAGGAGGGUGGCUGGGGAUGAUGGGAGUGGAUGCUUCUCCUCUCCUCUCCUCGGCUGUCUCUCUCCACCCGCGUGGAGUAAGCUGGGAGGAAGUGAUCGACCGUCACUUUCUCCCAGCAGCAUUUGCAGUGCAGCCGCAAGUUUUUUUAAAGGGGCCCGGUCGCGCUAUUACCCUGCCACAGCGCUGACCGGGCCCCUGAAAAUAUAGGGCUCAUCGGGUGGCCCUAAAUGCUUGGGCCACCUGAUGGGCCCCGGUGCAGAUGCAUCUGCGGCAGUUAUGCCGCUCCACGUGGGGCCCGGGCCCGUGACAACCGUCAUGGUUGUCAUCCCCUGAUGGCGGCCCUGCCCACAGCACCAUGAAUUUGUUUUCCCCCAACCCCUCUGUGUCUACCUGUGUCUCCACUCAGCCCCUGUCUGUCCCCUUCCCUAAUCUGUGUCUCUCUUUUGCCCCUUCCCCAACCCCUUUGUGUCUUUUCCCCCACAGCUAAACUAUAUGUCUCUUUCUUUCCCAGCCCCUUUUGUGUGUCUCUUUCUUCCCUUCCCAACCGCUGUUUGUCUUUUCUCCCCAGCACCUUGUAUUUUUCUCCCCCUGCCACUAUGUGUCUCUACACCCCCUUCUGGGUGUCUCCCCUCAUUCCCUGUCUAUCUCUUUUGCCACUUCCCCAAUCUGUCUGUAUCUCAUUGUGUACCCCAGGCCCCUGUCUGACUCUGCUGCCCCUUCCCGUUUUUUUUGUCCCCCCCCAGCCCCUCUGUGCUCACUUAUCUCUGGUAGCGUGGCGGAGCUAUGGACAAGAGUAGAGGAACUCCUGGAACCUCUUCCCGGUCUUCCUGUCAGACUGGGUAGAGCUUACAUGAGCUCUUUUCCCUGGUCCGUGGCUCUGCCACGCUACAUGCUGUGACUGGCAGUAGAGGAGUGCUCCCCUCCUGCUCGUAAAAUAGAUUCUACCCCUCCCGGGCCGGUGCGCCCUAAUAGUAGCACCAGCUCUGGGACCUUACGCACUGCAUGGAAACCAUUGCCAGGCUGCAUGUUCUGCAGGCCUGGUCUAGUAGUUGCACCUCUGGAACAUGUGACUUAGGCAGUCGAGAAUUCUAUUCUUGGCUGCCUAAUGUUAAUUCUGUGCAAAAAUUACAUCAGUUGUCAACGGGCAUUGUGUGCUAGCUACAUACUGAGCUUCUAUCCUUGAAGGCAGCUCUGGGAGCGUGCCAGCAGGAGAAGCUUGAAUCACCCUUCUCCUCAGACAAGAAAAUUCCAGAUUGCAUGUAGGCUGUGGUGGAGGUGGGGAGCAGUGCCCAUGGGAACCUAGCUAAGAAGUCAAACUUGUCUAAACUAUUGAAGUGGUUAUGGGACUUGAGGACCUUUGACUUUUGAAAGUCUUCAUGUUCGGCACGGUGGCUGUGUGUAAUAUACAUGUGUGAAUGCUGGGUGUCUGCGGUGGUGCUGCUCUAUAUUUUGCCCCCUCUUGCAUACUCUUCUGAAGGUAGGUAGUAAUGAUCCCUGGUCUUCCAUUGGUGAUCUAUAUUCCUGGUGAUCUAACCGAGGUCUUCAUUCCUUGAUGGCCAGUGCUGGAGCGUGUGAUGCAGCGUUUCUGGCAGGUAUAGGCCCCAGUGAUCGCACUUUCUGGACCUGGUACUCACAGGGUUAUUCAUUAUAGUGAGAAUUCAAAAUGCGUUUAAAAUUUAAGAUCUAAAUAAUUAAACUAAUUAUAUGAUACCAAUAUACACCCCAAAAGUGCAAGGUGGAAAAAAAUAAAUAAAUCAACUUCGCUUAAAAGUAUACAUAGCUAAAGGUCAGCUAUGCUUUUAUUUCGGUUACACUUCCCUUAAAUUUGAAAUUGUAUUUGAAUUUUUUCUUUAGGAAAUAAGCCUGUCCAUGAUGAGUCAGAGCACAGAUUGUAGAACCAGGUGAUUGUGCUUUAAGUCCUUCAGUUAGCAAUAGGAAGCUUAAAGGGACACUAUAGUCACCAGAACAACUACAGCUUAUUUAAUUUGUUCUGCUGAGUAUAAUCAGUCCCUUCAGGCUUUUUGCAGUAAACACUGUUGUUUUUUUUCAGAGAAAAGGCAAUGUUUACAUUACAGCCUAGGGAUACCUCAGGUACCUACUAGAGGUGCUUCCUAGGGCAGUGCUGCAAAGACAUUCAGUGUCUCCACCCUCAGCAUGGAGACACUGAACUUUACUCAUAGAGAUGCAUUGAUUCUGUGGUGCUGGCUCUGCCCUGAUCUUCCUCUUUGACAAACUCAGCCAAUUCAAUGCUCUCCUAUUGGAAAGCAUUGUUAUUGGCUCAGAUCAUAACUUCUGAUUAUAUCAGCCAAGGAGGCAGAUCAGGGGCAGAGCCAGCAGCAGCAGACUGGAAUAUAAGUAAGAUUUUACUAUAUUUAGGGAGGGCAGAGGGGAUAGUGUUUUGAACACUAUAGGAAUAUAUGUUUGUGUUCCUGACUCUAUAGUGUUCCUUUAAAGUGUUAUGUAUCUGCCAAAGGUGCAGACCAUAUACAUGCUCCUUAUUUGCAAUGGGUUCGCUAUUGUCAAAAAAGUCACUGUUCAGUAGAUACAUAACCAAAUGAAAACACGUACGCAUUUAUUUCUGCAUUUUUUUCUUUGGGCGCAUAUCUAAAAAAUAAACAAACAAACCUGCAAACCUUGUCAUUGAGAUGCCUCUGAUUUUGAGAUGCAAGCUGGACCAUAUACUAACUGCAAAGAUAAAAAAAAAAAAAACUAUGGGUUACAAUUGAUUCCCUUUUUUCCUUUUACAAUUUUUUUUUAAAAUAAAUUAUAUGGAUAAUGCUUUAAAUAACAGAAAAAUAAAAUAAAUGAAAAAGUAAAACAGAAAGCGGAUGGAUCAAGAACCUUAGAUUGGCAUCUGCAGCUUAGUAGCAUCAUAAUCACUACGUCUUCAUCUAGUCUUUAUGGUGCUUAGACUGCUCCUUUUGAUCUAUGCAAGAUUUGGCUAUUGCAAUUUUGGGCACCUGUCCUAAAGAAGGAUAUUAUGGCACUAGAAAAAGUGCCAAGGCGGGCUACAAAAUUAAUAAAAGGAAUGGAACAUAUCAGCUAUGAAGAAAGGUUAACACAUUUAAACCUAUUUAGUUUAGAAAAACGUCGCCUAAGAGGGGAUAUGAUAACAUUAUACAAAUAUAUUCGGGGCCAAUACAAACCAUUGUUUGGAAAUCUAUUCACAAACCGGACUUUACUUAGGACCCGAGGUCAUGCGUUUAGACUGGAAGAAAGAUGAUUUUGUCUUAGGCAAAUGAAAGGUUUUUUUACUGUAAGAACAAUAAGGAUGUGGAAUUCUCUGCCUGAAAAAGUGGUUUUAUCAGAGUUUAUACAGAUGUUCAAACAGCUAGUAGAUGCAUACUUGCAAAAACAAAAUAUUCAAGGAUAUAAUCUUUCAAUGUAGGGUAAUAACUGCUUGAUCCAAGGAUAAAUCUCCCUGCCAUUCUGGGGUUAAGAAGGAAUUUUUUUCCUAGCUUGUUGCAAAAUUAGAAGUGCUUCAAACUGGGUUUUUUGCCUUCUUUUGGAUCAACAGCAAAAAACAAAUGUGAGGAAGGCUGAACUUGAUGGACGCAAGUCUCUUUUCAGCUAUGUAACUAUGUAACAUACCAGUGGUAAUCGAUUUCAUUUUUAGUUGGACUUUUUAUUGUGGACUUUUUAUAUAUUUUAUUUUUUUCGUAUACACUUUUUUUAUUUUUUCAUAGGCGCUACCUUUACCUUAGUUUAUUCUGUUUACAUCUGUAUUAGGUUGCCAACAAAUAGCCAUCUUACCGAAUGGCAGAUAGUUUAGAAAAUGGGAUUUUGACUGUAAACAUUGGUGAGAGAGAAGAUGGAGUAAAAUAGAAGAUGGGGGGUCAUAUAAUUUACAUUUAUGGCUAUAGUUUGGUUUAGAGAUAAUCCAAUUUUAUGAUUUUUAAAUGUAAUAUAUGCACUAAAUGUAAUAUAGAUCUGGACUGUAAGAGUGUGAGCUGGAAUCCUGGAGGUCCACUGGGGGAGCUAUUUCGUCUGUACUAAUAACUAAUGUUCUUGCACCUGAUAUUGUCACAGACCACAAUGCUCCCUGAAAGAAGUGAGGGAGCGCAUGGAUGUGAGUUCUCCCUGCCGACUCGAGGAGGACUCGCACAGAGCUCAGUGACAGUCUUUGUUGCCUAAUGGGUAAUUAACGUCUAAACAAGAUUACUUUCUGAAAUGACAAUUCAAAAUGAAUUUCACACUUAAGGCAAGAGUAGCUGAAGUGAAAGCAUAGUUGAUUUUGUGAAUUUUCCAGCUCAACUAUUUUUACUUAAAGCGACACUGUCAUGCGAACUUACCUUUCCCCAAUCGCUUCAUCUUCUUUUCCUCUUUUAGAAUCUGUUCUUUUCUUCCUAUCUGAUCUAGUUUUCUUUAAAAUAUAAGACAAAUUAGGGACCACUUUAUCUUAUGUAUUUCUCCUACACUUGAUCUUCUUUGACCAAAGGAGGAGCUUAAAGAGAAACUAUAGUGCCAGGAAAACCUGCCUCUCCCCCAACCCAGGUGGGGGCCAUAAGUGACAAUAGAGGGGAAGGAGCUAUUUUCAUCCCCCCCUGUCCACCACCCAUGUAAAAUGUAAAAAUAACUUGCACCUAGGUGACUAGGGAUCCCCAUGCCCUUAGCCACACCCUCCCCUAUAAAAUAAAAUGCUACCUACCCCACUUACCCUACAAAUAGUGAAGAAGGAGCAAUAAAACUAAAUACCGGUAAAUAAAAAAAAUCAUACUUACUAUUAGAUGUCUAUUUUUUUCUAAAAACCUUCUUCUUUUUUAGCCACAAAAAAGGGCAAAUUAAAAGCCCAUCAAAAAAAAAAAAAAAAGAAGACCGAGCACAUAAUAAAAAUCCAGAUGCUAAAAAUGAAUCCAUCUUCACCUAGCGAGGGUUCCGCGCAGACUGAGCUCUGCAGGGCAGGAAAAGGCUUGUAAAGGAUUCCCACGCCCUGCAGUUUGACUCAGAGCGCUCUGAUUAAUUGGCUUAAGCCCAUCAAUAUGAGUACUCUGACAGGUAAAUCUUGAGCCUUACCUGAUUGGUUACCUAUCAGAGCACUCAUAUGUCCCACCAUGCUCACUGUUUAGUAGACAUACCUCUACUCGUGGCAUAGCAAGUAGAGGCAUUCGGGAGAUUUGAAUCUCCUUAUGCUAAUAUGGGGGUCACAUUGACCCCCAUAGAGUAAGGAGGAACAUGGGGGGUUUUAGAAAGUGGCGGGGAGAACAGCAUCUCACCGCUUCUAGUUUUACAUAUUACAAGGAGGGAGCCACAAGCCGGUAUCUCCAUCCUUGUAAUAAAAUGCCGAACAAGCAAUCAAAUAUCGAAAUUCGGCCUUUGUUCGUUUGUUUGAAAUUUCUAUUCAUUCAUUUGUGUUAAACUUGUAACUUCAUUUUCUAACUUGACAUCUCCUGACGAAAGCUUGAGGGGAUCAAGCUGAAACGUUGACCUUGUGUUGUUUUAGUGGAGGUAAUAAAAGUUAUAUUUUAUAUUAGUCCUUGGAGUGCUAUCUCUGGCAUAUAUAUAUAUAUAUAUAUAUAUAUAGCUUUUUCCAAUAUAAAAUAUUGGUCCUUUCAGAGUAAAAUUUUUAAUUAUACAGUAAGCAUACUCACAUGCAUACACAGACAAUCUCACUGACAAGCUGACUGAUACACAGCCUCAUACAUAAGGUUACUGACAUAAAAACACAAGCUCACUCAGUAGCAGUCACACACACACACACACACACACACACACACACACACACACACACAGCUUAAUGUAGUGGUACUGGUGUCUAUAGCCUGUCCCUGCAGGCUUUUCAAUGUAAACACUGACUUUUAAGAGAAAAGGCAGUGUUUACAUUCCUUCCUAGUGACAGACACUCAGACGGUCACUAGAGGUGCUUCCUGUGUCAGUGCGGAUUGGCUGAGAUCAUCAAGCUUGAUGAUCUCAGCCGUAGAGGCAGGGCCAGGCGAGGGGAGACCAGCAUGAGGUGGAAAAAAAAAAAAAAAGGUGAGUAAAAACACACAUACACACACACAUACCAUGACAGGCACACACCAUGACACAGACAGACCGUGACACAGACAGAAACACACACACACACCAUGACAGACAGACACACCGUGACACACACAGACACAUAUUACAUGACACAGACAAACACACACACAGACACACAUUACAUGACAGACACACACACACCAUGACAUAGACACAAAUUGCAUGACACAGACAGAUGAACACACCAUGACAUGACAGACACACAUGACACACACACAAAUGACACAGACACACACACACACAUACACAGUUUCUACCUGUGGGGAGCUCCUUUGGUGGCCCCGGUCUCAUUAAGCGGCGCGCAGGGGAGGGGGAGCAGAGACACAACAGCCAGCUCCCCCUGCGGCCGCAGGAACAGCCAGCAAACCCUGCGGCCGCCAAAGGAGCUCCCUCUGCGGCCGCAGGUGAGCCAGCUGGCUGCCCGGCCCCAGGUGCCGACGGCCCACCAGGAAAUUUCCCGGUAUCCCGGUGGGCCAGUCCGGCCCUGGCUACCCCAAACAAUGAGUUGAACCCAUUUCCCGAGACACUGGCAGAUUGAGCAGUGUAAAGACUCAUAAUCCUAUCAAGUAUAGACCCUGUGACUCCGAACACCUCCAAGACAUCCGACAGAUAGCACCAGCUAACUCUGUCAAAGGCAUUUCGGCAUCCAGAGCCACAAAGGCCACCGGGGAGGAAAUAGAUUUGCAGAUAUGGAUCAGAUGUAACAGUUUGCAAACGUUAUCGCCUCCCUCACGGUCCUUAACAGAGCCUGUUUUAUCAGGAUGAACUAAUUUGGUAAUGAAAUCCUUUAAUCUCUCUGCUAGGAUCUUGGAAAAUAUUUUAAUAUCGGUAAUCAACAGGGAUAUGGGGCGAUAGUGACGAAAUUAUGAUCUUGGUCUGGUUUAGGAAUCGGGGUUAUACAGGCCUGCAGCAUUUUCAAUGGGAAUGGGCAACCCUUAUCUAUUUCUCCAAAUACUUUUAGUAUGUUUGGAGCUAUGGUAGGCUCCAUUAUUUUAUAGAAACAGGCUGUGUAACCAUCCGGCCUUGGGGAUUUUCACUCCUUAAGGUCUUUAAUAGAUUUAGAGAUCUCCUCCAGAGUCAGAGGAGAACUCAAUUUCUUCAAGUCAUCCUUGCCCACUCUUGGUAAUUUAAAUUUUUUGAGAAACUGUCAGCCUGCCUCUGAGGUUGCCCGUUCCGAUGGGAGAUUAUACCAAGCCCUGUAAUAUGAGGCAAAAGCUUUACUUAUAUCUGAUGGAGAGAUAUUAACUUUGUCUCCCUCAAUUAUCUUCCUAAUUAUUUGGCUUAUUUAAUUGAACUUAAGUUUGUCCGAAAAAUGCUUGCUAACUCUAUUAUCCCCAUGGUACCAACUUUGGUUCAAUUUUAUUAUGGCUCUGUUUGUUUCUUUUUCUAAUUUAUCUCUUAUUUCCAAUUGGGUCUCCCUGAUUUGAGCUGAUCUCAGAUCUGUAACCAUUUUUCUAUUUUCCUCCUCCAAUUUAGCUAAAAGAAUUUACAAAUCAUUUAAAUCUUUCCCACAGGAUUUCUUGCGUUGGGCCCCCAGCUUAAUUAGAAUACCUCGCAUGACGCUUUUCAAGCGUGUGCCUCUGCUAACCUCAUCAUUGUCAUUAUUCAAAAAGAAUUCUUCAGCCUGUCUUAGCAGAUACUUCCGGGUUUCAUCUGAAUGUAUAAGUUCUUCAUUCAACCUCCAGGAAGUUCUGCCCUCUCUCGGCCCAUUUUCCACUAUCUGUACAAGUACUGGGGCAUGAUCAGACCAGGUAAUUAUAGCAAAUUUUGAUUUCCAAAAUUCGACCAGGUUGCAGCUUUUAGUUAAAAAUUGAUCAAUUCUUAAAUAACAUUUGUGAACUUUCGAAAAAAAUUAAUAAAUCGCGGUUGUUAGGGUGUGCCCUCUAGAUGUCAAAUAGGCCGAAUUCAUGCAGGACUUCCUGGAAGGAAAUACUAUUGCUCUUACUCCCACUUUCCAACUCCUUCAUGCAAUAUUUCUAUGUUUUAUCUGCUUUUAUAUCCGGUACCAUAUUCCCAGCAAUCAACAGGAUUCCUUUUUUGACCUUAUCUAUUUAAGAAAAUAUUUUUUUAAAGAACUUUUGAGAGUAUACGUUUGGAGAGUAAACAAUAACAAGGGUGUAGCAGAUGUCAUUUAUAGUACAUAUCAAUAUCAAGUAUCUUCCUUCGGGAUCUUUUAAUUCUACAAUCAGCUCAAAUUUUUACCAUUCUGCGAGGAUAAUUGCGACUCCUCUUGUCUUUUUAUUUGGAAGACCGGAGGAGAAAAACCUAGGAAAUGGUAAAACGCCAUCGGUGUACUUCACCAGUUUUCCAAUGGGUCUCCUGCACAAAGCAUAAAUCGGAUUUGUUUUUUUACUACUAAGCCAUAUAAAUAGCCUCUUUUUUUAGUUGUAUUGAGACCCUGUGCGUUGAUUGAAAAGACUUUUAAUGUCAUCUAUACAGAGCCCACCGAAGUCCUCCCUGCCAACGCCUCACACAACCGGGACAAGACAUACACUCUUACAUUCAUCCUUACUGUCUUAAGACUGUCUAAAUAAACAGAAUCCUGGUCUAUAUUUCUAUCUAGUAUAAUCCCAGUUGCUGACAGGAUCGGGGGAAUAGAUGGAGUCUAAUGCAUUCAAUGUUCCUUCCCAAUCUACCUCUCCCAGUGGAAAAAUAAAUAAAAAAUAAAAAAACACUUCUCCCUUUGCAAAUUUCUUAACUUUUCUUAAGUAAAAUCCCUCAUACACUCUCUCUCACCAAUAUUUCCUAUAAUAGACUUUCUUUUUCCUUCUUUAAAUUGUGUGUGAUAAAUUCUAAACCAUAUAAAGUGCAUUCCAAACAUUAAUUCUAAGUACUAAAUUUAAAUACGUGUUAAGUGCUGAUUUAUUUAUCAAAGAACCUCCCCUCCUUUUACAAUUAUUUAUUUUACAAUUGUUUCUUCUAAAGUAGAAAGUCCCUCAUAUUUUCUCACCAAUAUUUCCUAUAAUCAACUUUUUUCAUUUCCCCCCUUUUAUUUUUUUUAAAUUAUUAUAUGCGAUAAAAUAUUUGCCAUAUAAAGUGCAUUCCAAAACUAGCACCUUGCAUGGGUAUACAAACCUAUAAUGGCACUUUUGCAUGAUUACUAAAUUAGCAUACGUGUUAAAUGAUAAUUUAGUAAUCAUGCAAAAGUGCCAUUUUCUAUUCCGUUUUCCUUCUUUACAUUAUUAUUUACGCCUACAAAAAUUAUUUUAAGGUAGUUUCCUUCUGAGUUAUAGGUUUGUAUACCCAUGCAAGGUGCUAGUUUUGUGCAACACAAAUCCACCUGCGGGGAAAAGAGAAAAAAAAAUAAUUCUCUGUGAACAGAUUGGUUGGCUUAUUAAAAGACAGAGCACAGUGUAUUCUCAGUGCGGAGUGUGAGUGCUCACUGAACGGAGUGUCUCUGCAGGCAGAUUUUAUUUUUACCUGGCAUUUUUAUCACCCUGGAAUCAAGUAAUCCUAGGUGUGGAUCAUACCACCAGCGCUAUCUUCAAGGAGCAGUUGGUCUGCUCCUUCCUUGUGAGUACCAUUUUAUAUAUUUUAUUUCCAUUAUUUUAUCCAGUGAGCACUAUUGGUUGUCUCUUUUUUUUUUUAUUUGAGUGUUGAACAUACCAUUGACGGAGGAAGUUUACCCCAUAUCCCAUAAGCGGGGAUUGUACCGCUGUACGCCUUUUACACUAGAGGUAGCUAUAGCUCCUGUACAUGUGAGUUUUAUACCAGCCUUUUAUAUUUAAUUUGUUUUAUUAUUGGACUUAUUGCAUUAUUUGGUUCUCUAUUUGUUUUGUCUCUUGCGUAUGAGUGGAUCUACACGGAUGAGGACAGCGAGGACAUUGUUCCUGACCAAGCACUUUAUAGACUCUGCGACUCCAAUAAGAGCAUUUUAGAUAAGACUCUUUUUAUUUGGACUAUCUGUUAUUAUUGUUUUACAUAAAGUCUCUUUGGCGCAGCCCUUAUUUCCCAUAUUUUCUUCUUUUGUCGUACCUUAAGGGUUUUUGAGGGAUUCCCUUAUAGGGUUGCUGCCCCAUUUUGUUAUCUAGCGCUUACUCUUUUUUCUUGUCUUAAAAUACUUUAACCUCCAAGUAUAAACAAACACUUUAAGCUGCAGUUGUACUGUGGACAAGAGUGUAAAGUGGCUGCUUAGGAAGAGAUUGACUAAGCAGCAUACUCUUUGCUAUGAAUGAAAUUGGUUAAAGCUAGGAUUAAGUCUCAAGUAGUUUUAACCCACCCAAACACUUCAACCUACAGUUGUGCUUCAUGCAGGAAUGUAAAAUAACUGUUAACAAAGCAACAUACUUUCUGCCAAAAGAAAAGAUUGGCUAGCGUUCAGAUUAAAUCUUAAAACGCAGUUACCUCUAGAGAUAUUCCAAAUACACCUCCCGAAAUAUUCCAAUCACCUACUGCUAUGUUCAGAACCGAAGUGCAAAAUAACUGCAACCUGCAGCUAUAAUUCAUGCUGGACUUCAUGUAGAAAUGUUAUGCAACUGCUUAAAGUAAAAUUGACAAAUAAGUAACUCUUUGCUCAUUGUAAUAUUGAUAAACCAAUACGCUCCUUGUUGUAUAAGAAGUUGGUCAAAGUCAGGGUUAAAUCUCCAUACACUCUGACCACCAGAUAUUUUCCAGAUAGUUUAACCUCCAGGUUUAAUCCAAACAGGAGUGAGAAAAAAAACUGUUUAGGGUGGUAUCUACUAAGCAGUAUACUAUUUUGCUGUAAAAGAGUUUGGUAAAUGUCAAGAUUAAAUCUCAGGAAACUUUCACCACCAGGUAUGUUCCAGCCUUAUGUUAACCAACAGCUAUAAUCCAAACAAGAAUGUAAAGUGGCUGCUUAAGGUGAUACUGUCCAAGCAGUACACUAUUUACUAUUACAGAGGCUUGUCAAAUCAGGGUUAAAUCUCACAGUACUUCAUCCCCCAACUAUAUCCCUGACAGGGUUGUAGGGUAACUAUUUAUGGUAGAUUUGACUAAUAAGUAUUCAUUUUGCUAUUAGAAAACAUUUUUGUUCAGUAAACCUCAUUACUGUUUGUGUAUUUCUACACCACUUCCACCACACUUAACCUGGCAAAGUUAUUCCCUUAAGCGAGUUUACCAACAGAAUCUUAAACUUAUCUAAGCUGUCAGCAGUCCCAGGUGUAGUAUAAAGUAGAUGUUCCAGAUAGAUCUCUCUUUUGCUAAACCGGUGUUUCUCUGGAGGUUUAAUAUUUACAGGUGAUACUCGAAAAAUUAGAAUAUCUUGAAAAAGUUCAUUUAUUUCAGUAAUGGAACGUAAAAGGGGAAACUAAUCUAUGAGAUUGAUGCAUUACAUGCAAAGCAAGAUAGUUCAAGCCGUGAUUUGUCAUAAGUGCGAUGAUUAUGGCUUACAGCUCAUGAAAACCCCAAAUCCACAAUCUCAGUAAAUUAGAAUAUUUCAUUCAAUCAAUAAAACAAGGAGUGUACUUAGAACAAUAUCAGACCUCUGAAAAGUAUAAGCAUGCAAAUGUUCAAUGACCGUGGGAUGCACAGUAAUCCCACGGUCAUUGAACCAGGCUUUGGUGCCUUUGGCAGUGUGGGCAGGUGCCAAGUCCUGCUGGAAAAUGAAAUCAACAUCCCCAUAAAGCUCGUCUAUAGAAGGAAUCAUGAAGUGCUCCAAAAUCUCCUGGUAGACGGCUGCGUUGACCCUGGACUUAAUGAAGCACAGUGAACCAGGAUAGUCUGUGUGUGGUGGCUCUUGAUGCACUGACUCCAGCCUCAGUCCACUCCUUGUGAAAGUCCCCAACUCUUUUGAAUAGCCUUUUCCUGACAAUCCUCUCCAGGCUGUGGUCAUCCCUGCUGCUUGUGCACCUUUUUCUUCCACACUUUUCCCUUUCACAUAACUUUCUAUUAAUGUGCUUUGAUACAGCAUUUUGGGAACAUCCAACUUCCUUCGCAAUUACCUUUUGAGGCUUUCCCUCCUUAUGGAGGGUGUCAAUGAUGGUUUUCUGCACAACUGUCAGGUCAGAAGUCUUCCCCAUGAUUGGAAUUCCUACUGAACCAAUUAAAGGCUAAAAAAAACCUUUGCAGGUGUUAUGGCUUACUUAGCUGAUUAGAGUGGGACACUGUGCACCUUUUCACAAUAUUCUAAUUUACUGAGAUUGUGGAUUUGGGGUUUUCAUGAGAUGUACUACAGACACCCAGAUUACAUCAGCUCAAUGAAGUGGUCUGGGUGCCAGGUCCCUCUAGUUUUAACCCUGAAGCUGAAAACAUAGCACUUUCAGAGAAACUGCUAUGUUUCAAUGAGGGGUAAUCCAGCCUCUAGUGGCUGUCUCAUUGACAGCCACUAGAGGAGCUUCCGCGAUUCUCACUGUGAAAAUCACAGUGAGAAGAUGCUGAACGUCCAUAGGAAAGCAUUGAGUAAUGCUUUCCUAUGGGCGGUUUGAAUGCGCGCGCGCGCGGCUCUUGCCGCACAUGCACAUUCGGAGCUGAGAGGCGGAUCGGGGCUGAGAGAUCCCCAGAGUCAAGGGAGUCCGGCGCUGAAGAAAGGUAAGUGCUGAAGACACACACUCUCACGAACAGAUGCAUAAACACUAGCUAAUAGACACACACAUUUACUGACAGACAGACACAUACACACUCACUUACAAAAUACACAAUCACUAACAGACACCAAACAGACUCACUAACAGACGCACACAAACUAACACACUCAGUAACAGACACACACAGUAACACACUCACUGACACACUCUAACACACACAUGUUUUUUGAAAAAUGUAAUCCCCCAGCCUCCCUACCUUUGGGGUCCAGUGGAGUUGCUGGGCAGCCAGUCACCGGGCAGGCAGGCUGGCGGGCGCGCGAGGGAGCACUCUUCCCUUAGUGCUCCCUGUUCAGCUCCCUUGCGCGCCGCGUAGUGAUGCUGGAGCUGGAAGAUGACAUUAUCUUCCGGCUCCGGUAUCAGUGCGGUGCGCGAGGGAGCUAGACAGAGAGCGCUCAGGGGAGAGUGCUUCCUUGCACACCCGCCAGCCUGCCCGACCGGUGACACCAGGGCCAGCCCCGGGGGGGGGGCUCUGAUGUGGCCAGCUCUUGGACCCCCCAGGAGGAGAGGCUGGCCACACUGGCAUACAUACCGGGUCGCAGGGUGGCAGUGGCCGCUACCACAUUGCUCAAUUAAUUUGUUACCUAAUUGUUGCCAAUUACCGACGGAGCUCCUUCUUAUGUUCAUCCGUGUAACGAACCUCUCUUACCUGAUCCUGGCUACGCUGACUUCUCCUCUCCCAGACUCGGAACAGACUUCACUACGAUUUCCUCUAACCCUCAAUAUAGUUCAAGGAACCAUAAUCCUCACUAUUCUGGAAAGGACCUCCAUUGUUUACUGGGAUUAAUAAUUAGUUCAUGCCUUCAUACAUUAUUACUGGAGUCUAAAAGACUGUGAUAUUUUUUACCAAAUCAGGAUCCUAGGGCAUGUGGCACCCGGGGCGGAUCCUGGGUUUGGCACCCCUCCUACCCCCCCUUCUCCAAAAAAAGGCGCCACCCUACCCCCCUCUACAAAAUCCCUGCACCCCCUCACACACAGUUACAGGCAGGCAGUCACACACAGUUACACGCACACAGUCACAUGCAGACAGUCACACAUAUAGUCACAGGCAGUCAUACACACAGAUACAGGUAGAGAGUUACACACAAACAGUCAGUUACAAACAGUUACACACAGUCACGCACACUGUUACAGACAGACAGUCACAUAUACAGUCACACACACGGUCACAGGCAGACAGUCAUACACAUACAUACACACACACACAGUUACAGACUGACAGUCACACACAUACACACACACACAGUUACAGACUGACAGUCACACACACACACACACAGUUACAGACAGACAGUCACACACACACACACACAGUUACAGACAGACAGUCACACACACACACAGUUUCAGGCAGACAGUUACACACACACACACACUCUUAUACUUACAUACCGUGUGGGCUGGAGGAGUGGAUUCCCUGACCUGAAGUCCUUCCCUGGCUGGAGGUGGAGGUGCAGGGAUUUCUGCUUGCUGCACCUCCAUGUGCAGCCGUUACAGCAGCUUGUAAGGGCCCUGUUACGCCCUGCCCCUGCUCGCAGUUAGGCUCCGUCCCCAAAUGACAUAGCCCCGCCCCUUCCUCCCGUGCGGCCAGUUUAUCUUGCUGGUCUCUCCGUGUGAGCUGUGUGACACCCCAGCUGCCAUGGGGCACAGCUCACACAGCCCCCUCCAGCCCCAAGACCAGGGUCAAGGCACCCCCCUACCAGGUGGCACCCAGGAGGGACCGCCCCCCCCUUAGUCCGCCACUGUCAGGAUCUACUUAUUUUCAACAUUUGUUAUUGAAAUCUAAAGGACUGUGUAAUAUUCCUAAAACAGGAAUUGCGUAUUUUCUUAUUCAUUAUCUGAAGUCUAAUAGACUAUAUUAUCUAUUCCUAAUUAGGAGUUACCUUGUUUAUUUAUUUCUGCUGAAAUCUAUUUUCUGUGAAGCAAUCCUAAACAAGAUUUACCAUUGCUUAAUGGAAUAUUAUUUUCAAUUUAUAUUGCUGCAGAAGAUUGUUAAAGUGAAAAUUCCUAAAUUCAAUAAAUCAAACUUUCUUAAAGUGACAGUAUUAAAUUUAUUGCUUCACUUGCAGUUGAGUUCCAAAUGAAGUUUUACUAAAAGUAUUACACUCAUCGAUACUUUUUUGACAUGCGUUUUUCUGGAUUUCUGGAUCAAAUACUUUUUUCCCUCACUGUAUACCUACAGAAUAAACAAAAGUUGGUAGUACUCACAGACUUUUAAAAGUAAAAAACUUUGCUUCAUUGUUCCAUCUCAAAAACAUCACAUUGUGUGGUUAAAAAAAAGUUGGUCAGUAUUUCAAUCCUGGCUUGAGACUUUCCUCAGGUCCCUGAAACCAUUUCCUACGUAUGUCCGAUACAUGGCACCCAGCAUACUUAAAGGGACACCGUAGGCACUGUAUCUGCUUCAUCUCAUUAAACUGGUAAUAGUGUAUGGAGUCCCCUGGUGCCAUCAUUUCUUUCAGCAUUAAACAGUUUUUAAUGUUGUAAUGUUUUAAUGCUAAACAAGACACCACGGCAGUCCAUCCCCUCUGUGCUGCUUUGGCUAAUAAGGAAGUAUUACCCUGAGAAGCAAUGGGCAGCUGUGAUUGGCUGAGAGUGUCAGCUGACUGCUUUUAACCUGUCAGAGCUCCAACUGACGGUAUGAAUGGGUAUGACAACAAGGAAGUGUGUAAUCUCUGCCUUAGCUACACAUACAGAAGGGGCCGGACUGUGGGUGGCCAGGGACUCUUAUUUUGUGGCAUACUGCACAAACAUGGUGCAACACUGAAUGGAGGGACAGUGCCAGGGCACUCCAGGCACUAUAACCAAUUCAAAGAGACAAAGUGGUUAUAGUGACUACAGUGUCCCUUUAACUGUGUGUGUGUAUAUAUAUAUAUAUAUAUAUAUAUAUAUAUAUAUAUUACGCACACUUCUAUACAGAAAUGUUUUUAGUCAAAUAGAAAAUGUUAUCUUUGUGCUAACUGUUCUGUAGAUAUUGUUAUUGUCAUUAAACUGUAUUUAUAUGCACAUUUGUUUGUUGAUUAUAACAUUGUUGUCCUUCUGUUUUUAAGAAACCAAUCCACAUCAUAAUGUCCUGAAUCAUGAGAAAAUAAAGAUUUGCCCCAUUUCGAACAUCAAAACAUUGAAAGGUGACUUGUUUCUUUUCCAUAUUUCUAUAUUAUUCAGCCAAAACUUUAACUUUAGUAACAUAAU